rnacentral:lncRNA from 1 species
ACACUUUCUAGCGCCGUUUUGAAAUCAUAACGUGGUAGGGAUAAUAAGGAAGCGAUUGGUUUGUGACACACAAGAGCAGCCACUCAGCAAUAGCCUAUGUCAGCUCAUACUGCAGUUACACCUCCAUAUCCGUCGAAACAUCUGCUAUGUGCAUGUCGGCCAACGAUGGUUAACGCUCAAUCUGAUUGACUCUAGGUCUAAUGCUAAUCCAUAUACGGUUUUCUUCAAUAAGGUCCUGUGAUGAUACGGUACUAUAGCAAAGCAAUGAGAGCACAAAGAAAUUCACUCUUCUAAUUCAACACUUUCUUCUGCUGUCAAAGGCAUGUUGCUUCUGAUGAUACCUCCAUCCAAUAAGAGCUGGACGAAGUAAAAACCUUUCAUGUUCUUUUACAUAGGAACAUACAGUCCUAUUUAUUUGAGCUGGACUGAAGGGAAAAAUAAUUGCAAGACCAGCAAGCAGUGGUGGCAGCCUAGACCAGCUGCACCAGGACAAAGGAAUAACUUGUUUUGCUGUCGGUAGCUAGAUAGCAAUAUAAGCUUUCUUUUAACCGAGACAGUGUUGUUCAGUACAGUACAAUUUAGUGAUCGAUUCAGCCGUAAAGGAGCUUGCUAGAACCACUACAAGCCAAGCUAGCCAAGUUUAGCUAGCUAGCUAGCUGUGCUGUUUAGCUUGAUCACUCAUAUUAGUCUUGUAACUAUACCUGUAUGCUGUAGCUAGCUAGCUACCUAGCUAGCUAACGUGUGUCUAAGAUUUCUCAUAUUUUACACCAUGCUGCAACAAUAGGAAUACAGACAGUACACAAUGAUUGCCAUGAAUGUGUAGCGUUUUCGUCUUUCUCUCACAGACAAAACUGCUUGGAUACAAAGAAAUUGAUGACUCUCAAGAGGAGAUGUAAAAGGCAGUUUCCAGAAUGUUCUUCAGCUGAUGAACCUCUUCUUGUGUUGGGUAAUGGCAGAUGAUGUAGCAAGCUUUGUCACCGUGGCAAUGUUGGCAGGGAUGUUGGGUUUGAGGGGCUGUGGUCUGGUCCUUUCUGCACUCCACAGCCAGGUGGACAUACCUCUCGUACACGUUCUUCACCACCCACUGCUUCGACCGCUUACAGAAGAUUUGUUUGUAACGCAAGUCUCC